rnacentral:rRNA from 1 species
AGUCGAACGGUAACAGGCGGUAGCAAUACUGUGCUGACGAGUGGCGCACGGGUGCGUAACACGUAUGCAACUUACCCUUUACCGGGGCAUAACCUGUUGAAAGACGGGCUAAUUCCCCAUGGUAUUAUUUGGAGGCAUCUUUGAGUAAUUAAAGAUUUAUCGGUAAAGGAUGGGCAUGCGCCCCAUUAGUUAGUUGGUGAGGUAACGGCUCACCAAGACUGUGAUGGGUAGGGGUUCUGAGAGGAUUAUCCCCCACACUGGUACUGAGACACGGACCAGACUCCUACGGGAGGCAGCAGUAAGGAAUAUUGGGCAAUGGGCGAGAGCCUGACCCAGCCAUGCCGCGUGCAGGAAGACGGCCUUAUGGGUUGUAAACUGCUUUUCUAUGGGAAUAACCACUUCUACGUGUAGAGGUCUGCAUGUACCAUAGGAAUAAGCAUCGGCUAACUCCGUGCCAGCAGCCGCGGUAAUACGGAGGAUGCAAGCGUUAUCCGGAAUUAUUGGGUUUAAAGGGUGCGUAGGCGGACUGAUAAGUCAGUGGUGAAACUUCCGGGCUUAACCUGGGACCUGCCAUUGAUACUGUUGGUCUUGAGUGUAGUUGAUGUUGGCGGAAUGUGUCAUGUAGCGGUGAAAUGCAUAGAUAUGACACAGAACACCGAUAGCGAAGGCAGCUGACAAAACUAUAACUGACGCUGAGGCACGAAAGCGUGGGGGUCAAACAGGAUUAGAUACCCUGGUAGUCCACGCCGUAAACGAUGAUCACUAGCUGUAUGCGAUACACAGUAUGUGGCUAAGGGAAACCGAUAAGUGAUCCACCUGGGGAGUACGUCCGCAAGGAUGAAACUCAAAGGAAUUGACGGGGGCCCGCACAAGCGGAGGAGCAUGUGGUUUAAUUCGAUGAUACGCGAGGAACCUUACCUGGGCUUGAACGUAUGGUGCAUGUGGGUGAAAGCUCACUUUCUAGCAAUAGACUUCAUACGAGGUGCUGCAUGGUUGUCGUCAGCUCGUGCCGUGAGGUGUUAGGUUAAGUCCUGCAACGAGCGCAACCCCUGUUUUUAGUUGCCAUCAGGUGAUGCUGGGCACUCUAGAGAGACUGCCUGCGCAAGCAGAGAGGAAGGUGGGGAUGACGUCAAAUCAGCACGGCCCUUACGUCCAGGGCUACACACGUGCUACAAUGGCCGGUACAGAGGGCAGCUACAUGGUGACAUGAUGCGAAUCUCCAAAGCCGGUCUUAGUUCGGAUCGGAGUCUGCAACUCGACUUCGUGAAGCUGGAUUCGCUAGUAAUCGUAUAUCAGCCAUGAUACGGUGAAUACGUUCCCGGGCCUUGUACACACCGCCCGUCAAGCCAUGGAAGUUGGGGGUACCUGAAGUCGGUAACCGUUAAGGGUC